ACAGCCAUAUCCCGUUGAAACACCGGUUUCUAUACGAUCACCGAAGAUAAGCAACGUCAAGCCUGGUCACUACUUAGAUGGGUAAGCGCUAAAGAAUACCAGGAGCCGUGA